AUUGAACGCUGGCGGCAUGCUUUACACAUGCAAGUCGAACGGCAGCGGGGGGCAACCUGGCGGCGAGUGGCGAACGGGUGAGUAAUACAUCGGAACGUACCCAGAAGUGGGGGAUAACGUAGCGAAAGUUACGCUAAUACCGCAUACGUUCUACGGAAGAAAGUGGGGGACCUUCGGGCCUCAUGCUUUUGGAGCGGCCGAUGUCUGAUUAGCUAGUUGGUGAGGUAAAGGCUCACCAAGGCGACGAUCAGUAGCUGGUCUGAGAGGACGACCAGCCACACUGGGACUGAGACACGGCCCAGACUCCUACGGGAGGCAGCAGUGGGGAAUUUUGGACAAUGGGCGCAAGCCUGAUCCAGCAAUGCCGCGUGAGUGAAGAAGGCCUUCGGGUUGUAAAGCUCUUUUGUCAGGGAAGAAACGGCUGGGGUUAAUACCUUCGGCUAAUGACGGUACCUGAAGAAUAAGCACCGGCUAACUACGUGCCAGCCGCCGCGGUAAUAC
rnacentral:rRNA from 1 species